GUGAACAGUUAACAGAUUGCAGACUAAUAACGGAUGUAUUUUGAUCAAAGAAACUCACAUCAUGCUCACGUGAGUUUUCGGAACAGAUGGACCAAAAAUUCUCAAGAUAUCGCUAUAUACAAUUAUUGGCGUAAAGACGGACGGACGAGCGAAUACAGCAAUGUCUGUUGGGCUCCAAACAUCUUAUAUGCAAGUCUGGAUUAUUUUUAUGCCUGGAACAUUCUUUAUGUCGAUGCCUUUAUUUAUGUACAAUGUGCAAGGGUUUAAGGGGUUUCCAUUCAGUCACACACACGAAAGUCUUGUUAUUAACAAAUUGUGAUCAAGAUCUAGGUCUUUUCAACAUAGUGUACAUGUAACUUUGAAUCAUCUGUAAUAUAUUGUGAAAACUUUGGUAGCGAAUUAAAGUCAUUGUUGGUGGGGGCGAAAAUGCUAUUUUGGUUUUGGAACGACAUGUUUAUCAAAAUUUGCUCGCUUUAUACAAUAUGUCAGUUUGGGGAUACCGUUUAUAGAUCGCAACGAUUUGAUUUUUACACGUGAUUCACGGGUCAUGUGUUGAACACUGCACGCAUUCAAUGAGGAACUUGACGAGAAUAAAAUAAUAAUAAAUUAUCAACGUAAAACAAGUGAAAUAUGUUUUAUUAAUAGCUAUAUUAGAAAGAGUUAUUGGACUUAUAUUGGUGAAUAUUGGCUUUCGUUGGGUGCUCACAUAGUUCGCGCAUCUACACCCACCUCAGGCCAUUAUUCACUGAGUUAAAUAACCGUAUAACAUUAGGCCAAGCCAAUAUUCACUAAUUCAAUAACUGUGUAACAUUAGGCCAAGCCAAUAUUCACAAAGUUCAAUAACUGUAUAACAUUAGACCAAUCCAAUCUUCACUGUGUUCAAUAACCGUGUAACAUUAGGCCAAGCCAAUAUUCACUGUGUUCAAUAACCGUGUAACAUUAGGCCAAGCCAAUAUUCACUGUGUUCAAUAACCGUGUAACAUUAGGCCAAGCCAAUAUUCACUAUGUUCAAUAACCGUAUAACAUUAGACCAAGCCAAUAUUCACUAAUUCAAUAAUUGUGUAACAUUAGGCCAAGCCAAUAUUCACAAAGUUCAAUAACUGUAUAACAUUAGACCACGCCAAUCUUCACUGUGUUCAAUAACCGUGUAACAUUAGACCACGCCAAUCUUCACUGUGUUCAAUAACCGUGUAACAUUAGGCCAAGCCAAUAUUCAUUGUGUUCAAUAACCGUGUAACAUUAGGCCAAGCCAAUAUUCACUAUGUUCAAUAACCGUAUUGUAAUAGAGUGAAUUUUACAUGUUUUUAAUACUUUAUUUCAGGGAUUUUAUUUAUUGAAAAUAAAUUGCUUUAAUUCAAUUUCUUUACAGAGUUUUGAAUUUUGAUAUGAGAAUAAAGUUUUAUCUAAUUGAAAUCAUUAUUAUAACUAUGACUUGUGUUUGUCUUGUUAUUUCAUUACUUAUUAAAUUUUACUGCUUACUAUGCAGAACAGGUUUUUCUUUAGGAUAAUUGUUACUAUUUAUAGAUCACUCUAGCUUGGUCACAUGGUUUUUAGGAGGGAAAUUUCUUUUGAGGACAGGUAUUCUUGUUUUCAUGCUUAAGUGGCACAGAAGGGUUGUUCGAUAAAAGUUUCAUAUAGUAGUUUGUUCUUUACUAGUGGAUUGAUUUAUUGGAUGCAGAUUUAUUGUAUUUGAGCAGGUUAGUAUUAAAGUUAGGAUGCACUAUUUCUUUAUUUUCACUACUUUAUCUUGUCUGAGUGAAUGUUUGAAUGAUAGACAAUAUGAAGAGUGAAUGAUCUUUGCAAGUUUGCACGAAUGCUGUAAAUAAUUGAUAUAUAAUUAAAUAAGAUUCAAAUUAAUGUGUUUAACUUUUAAAGGAGAGAGUGAAUGUAUUACACUUUAUAAAUACGUAAGAGUAAAUAUUCAUUCAUGCAAUAAAUUAUAACUCUACAGUAAAUACCUAUUUUAUUAUAGUUAGAACAUCAACACAUUCUAUAAAGUAGGAGGAUUUCUUAAUGUUUGCACCGACCUUUGCACCUCAUGGGAGGGUCAUGCAACAAUCAUCACCACAAUAAAGAUAAAACCCACGAAA